CUUAAUUCAUGGUUUCUGUAUCUAACGUUUGAUCGUCCAUCUUACUUGAAAAAAUUAUGAAAAAAUUUAAAAAGGUAAGUCAUGCAUAAAGUAUUAUUUAUGUUUGAUCAUCUAACAAUAAUAAAAAUACUAAUUAAAAAAUUUCAUAUAAGACGAACGGUCAAACGUUAAAUACGGAAACUUAAGAAUUGAGUUUUU
rfam:Oryza glumipatula chromosome 1, whole genome shotgun sequence.